AUUGAACGCUGGCGGCAUGCCUUACACAUGCAAGUCGAACGGCAGCACGGGUGCUUGCACCUGGUGGCGAGUGGCGAACGGGUGAGUAAUACAUCGGAACAUGUCCUGUAGUGGGGGAUAGCCCGGCGAAAGCCGGAUUAAUACCGCAUACGAUCUACGGAUGAAAGCGGGGGACCUUCGGUCCUCGCGCUAUAGGGUUGGCCGAUGGCUGAUUAGCUAGUUGGUGGGGUAAAGGCCUACCAAGGCGACGAUCAGUAGCUGGUCUGAGAGGACGACCAGCCACACUGGGACUGAGACACGGCCCAGACUCCUACGGGAGGCAGCAGUGGGGAAUUUUGGACAAUGGGCGAAAGCCUGAUCCAGCAAUGCCGCGUGUGUGAAGAAGGCCUUCGGGUUGUAAAGCACUUUUGUCCGGAAAGAAAUCCUUGGCCCUAAGACGGUCGGGGGAUGACGGUACCGGAAGAAUAAGCACCGGCUAACUACGU
rnacentral:rRNA from 1 species